rnacentral:rRNA from 1 species
CGGAGGGAUCAUUACCGAGUUUACAACUCCCAAACCCAAUGUGAACGUUACCAAACUGUUGCCUCGGCGGGAUCUCUGCCCCGGGUGCGUCGCAGCCCCGGACCAAGGCGCCCGCCGGAGGACCAACCAAAAACUCUUUUGUAUACCCCCUCGCGGGUUUUUUAUAUCUGAGCCAUCUCGGCGCCUCUCGUAGGCGUUUCGAAAAUGAAUCAAAACUUUCAACAACGGAUCUCUUGGUUCUGGCAUCGAUGAAGAACGCAGCGAAAUGCGAUAAGUAAUGUGAAUUGCAGAAUUCAGUGAAUCAUCGAAUCUUUGAACGCACAUUGCGCCCGCCAGUAUUCUGGCGGGCAUGCCUGUCCGAGCGUCAUUUCAACCCUCGAACCCCUCCGGGGGGUCGGCGUUGGGGAUCGGCCCUUUACGGGGCCGGCCCCGAAAUACAGUGGCGGUCUCGCCGCAGCCUCUCCUGCGCAGUAGUUUGCACACUCGCAUCGGGAGCGCGGCGCGUCCAUUGCCGUAAAACACCCAACUUUCUGAAAUGUUGACCUCGGAUCAGGUAGGAAUACCCGCUGAACUUAAGCAUA